UACAGAGGUCCCAAGCGUUGUUCGGAUUCACUGGGCGUAAAGGGUGCGCAGGUGGGUUUGCAAGUUCGAUGUGAAAGCCCCGGGCUUAACCCGGGAAUGGCAUUGGAUACUGCAGAUCUGGAGGAUCGGAGGGGGGACUGGAAUUCUUGGUGUAGCAGUGAAAUGCGUAGAUAUCAAGAGGAACACCAGUGGCGAAGGCGGGUCUCUGGGCCGAUACUGACGCUGAGGAGCGAAUGCGUGGGGAGCGAACAGG
rnacentral:rRNA from 1 species